GACGAACGCUGGCGGCGUGCCUAAUACAUGCAAGUAGAACGCUGAAGAGAGGAGCUUGCUCUUCUUGGAUGAGUUGCGAACGGGUGAGUAACGCGUAGGUAACCUGCCUUGUAGCGGGGGAUAACUAUUGGAAACGAUAGCUAAUACCGCAUAACAAUGGAUGACACAUGUCAUUUAUUUGAAAGGGGCAAUUGCUCCACUACAAGAUGGACCUGCGUUGUAUUAGCUAGUAGGUGAGGUAAUGGCUCACCUAGGCGACGAUACAUAGCCGACCUGAGAGGGUGGUCGGCCACACUGGGACUGAGACACGGCCCAGACUCCUACGGGAGGCAGCAGUAGGGAAUCUUCGGCAAUGGGGGCAACACUGACCGAGCAACGCCGCGUGAGUGAAGAAGGAUUUCGGGUCGUAAAGCUCUGUUGUAAGUCAAGAACGGGUGUGAGAGUGGAAAGUUCACACUGUGACGGUAGCUUACCAGAAAGGGACGGCUAACUACGUG
rnacentral:rRNA from 1 species